rnacentral:rRNA from 1 species
CAGUCGCCGCGGUAAUACAGAGGGUGCGAGCGUUAAUCGGAUUUACUGGGCGUAAAGCGUGCGUAGGCGGCUUCUUAAGUCGGAUGUGAAAUCCCUGAGCUUAACUUAGGAAUUGCAUUCGAUACUGGGAAGCUAGAGUAUGGGAGAGGAUGUUAGAAUUCCAGGUGUAGCGGUGAAAUGCGUAGAGAUCUGGAGGAAUACCGAUGGCGAAGGCAGCCAUCUGGCCUAAUACUGACGCUGAGGUACGAAAGCAUGGGGAGCAAACAGGAUUAGAUACCCCCGUAGUCCCUGUCUCUUAUAC